GACCUGAAUGGGAUAAAUUUUAUCCGACCAAAAUGAAAUUUGGGACAAGUAUAAAUUUUAGAAAAAAAAUAUUUAAAACAGAUUUAGAUUGGAUGCAGAUAAUAGUAUACUCCGAUCUGAAUCCAACCUAACAUAAUCUUAAUAUAUAUUCCUCAUUAAAAAUUAUAAUAAUUUUAUAUUAUUUACAUAUACUCAAUUUGAUCCGAUCUAAUCAACCCUUCUUAUCUAUC
rnacentral:lncRNA from 1 species